UGAGGAAUAUUGGUCAAUGGGCGAGAGCCUGAACCAGCCAAGUAGCGUGCAGGAUGACGGCCCUAUGGGUUGUAAACUGCUUUUAUAUGGGAAUAAAGUGAGGGACGUGUCCCUUAUUGCAUGUACCAUACGAAUAAGGACCGGCUAAUUCCGUGCCAGCAGCCGCGGUAAUACGGAAGGUCCAGGCGUUAUCCGGACUUAUUGGGUUUAAAGGGAGCGUAGGCUGUUUGUUAAGCGUGUUGUGAAAUGUAAGAGCUCAACUUUUAGAUUGCAGCGCGAACUGGCAGACUUGAGUGCGCACAACGUAGGCGGAAUUCAUGGUGUAGCGGUGAAAUGCUUAGAUAUCAUGACGAACUCCGAUUGCGAAGGCAGCUUACGGGAGCGCAACUGACGCUAAAGCUCGAAGGUGCGGGUAUCGAACAGG
rnacentral:rRNA from 1 species